rnacentral:rRNA from 1 species
UACAGAGACUGCAAGCGUUAUUCGGAUUCACUGGGCGUAAAGGGUGCGCAGGCGGUUGGGUGUGUCAGAUGUGAAAUCCCGAGGCUUAACCUCGGAACUGCGUCUGAAACUACUCGACUAGAGUACUGGAGAGGGAAACGGAAUUCACGGUGUAGCAGUGAAAUGCGUAGAUAUCGUGAGGAACACCAGAGGCGAAGGCGGUUUCCUGGCCUGUAACUGACGCUGAGACGCGAAAGCGUGGGGAGCGAACCGG